rnacentral:lncRNA from 1 species
ACGUUUCAAUCCUCCCCACGUUUCGGCAUUCCCAGCCAUGGUUCUUGCUGGAGCAAUGCCUCACUAUGCUCUUCCUUGUUACGAGAGGCUGCAAGAUUGUAAAGCACGAGAGAGUUAGCAAGUGCCUUAGAACCUUGCAAAGCUCCAGUCCGAGUUACCUUCUCUUGGCCUCUCUCGAUGCCGCAAGGGACCAGAUGGUGCAGCAAGCGACGACCAUCCAGCGUUUGAUACAGCUCUGGAGCUGGCUUGCACAGCUCGACGACGCCUGAAAGAAAUCCCACAAGUUUUAGUCCUUGAUAGAAAAAUGUGAGCUCGGCAGCCAAAGCUGAUACCAUUUUUGAUGAGCUUAGGAUCACCAUUGGUUUGUGGGAGCUCGGAGUCACAGGAACCCUUGCUGAUGGCUUUCUGUGCGAUAAAUGCA